rnacentral:misc_RNA from 1 species
GGGAAGGAGACUAAACUUCCACAUUGGCUUAUUCUCAAAUCUUUGAGAGAUUUGAGGUUGUUCAGUCCACUUGGCAACUCCUUCAAAUUUGGAGACACGUUUAUGUUCAGAAUUUCAAGGUUGCAAGGCAAAAGCCCUUCCUUUCCAUCUACCAAUGACACAAGCUCAUUACAUCCUUUGAUUUCCAAAUGCUUUAGACUAACAAGAGAGGUGGCAUUAGUCACUCUCCUGAGAACUGCCUCUUGACAUCUUCUAAUAGAGAGUGUUACAAGAGAGGGAAGCACUUCUGGUAAAUCAACUAACUGAGGGCAAUUAGAAAUGUGAAUGUUUUUCAGGGAAGGUAGCACUUCUGGUAAAUCAAACAACAGCAGACAGUUACUAAUAACAAGUUUUUCAAGGGAAGGAAGGAAGGUGGGCAAUUUUCCAACCAACAUAGGACACCUUCUUAUUCGAAGCUCACGUAGCUUGGGAAAUUUGGCUAUAGAAUCUUCACCCAGACCAUUAGACCAAGACCACAACUC